rnacentral:rRNA from 1 species
UACAUGGGGUGCAAACGUUGCUCGGAAUCAUUGGGCGUAAAGCGCGCGUAGGCGGUUACUUAAGUCGAAUGUGAAAGCCCUCGGCUUAACCGAGGAAGUGCAUCCGAAACUGAGUAGCUAGAGUACGAAAGAGGGUCGCGGAAUUCCCGGUGUAGAGGUGAAAUUCGUAGAUAUCGGGAGGAACACCGGUGGCGAAGGCGGCGACCUGGGUCGAGACUGACGCUGAGACGCGAAAGCGUGGGGAGCGAACAGG